rnacentral:rRNA from 1 species
UACGUAGGGUGCAAGCGUUAAUCGGAAUUACUGGGCGUAAAGCGCGCGUAGGCGGCUUUGCAAGUCAGAUGUGAAAUCCCCGGGCUUAACCUGGGAACUGCAUUUGUGACUGCAUGGCUAGAGUACGGUAGAGGGGGAUGGAAUUCCGCGUGUAGCAGUGAAAUGCGUAGAUAUGUGGAGGAACACCGAUGGCGAAGGCAGCCCCCUGGGCUGAGAUUGACGCUCAGGCACGAAAGCGUGGGGAGCAAACAGG